GACGAACGCUGGCGGCGUGCUUAACACAUGCAAGUCGAACGGAAAGGCCCUGCUUUUGUGGGGUGCUCGAGUGGCGAACGGGUGAGUAACACGUGAGUAACCUGCCCUUGACUUUGGGAUAACUUCAGGAAACUGGGGCUAAUACCGGAUAGGAGCUCCUGCUGCAUGGUGGGGGUUGGAAAGUUUCGGCGGUUGGGGAUGGACUCGCGGCUUAUCAGCUUGUUGGUGGGGUAGUGGCUUACCAAGGCUUUGACGGGUAGCCGGCCUGAGAGGGUGACCGGCCACAUUGGGACUGGGAUACGGCCCAGACUCCUACGGGAGGCAGCAGUGGGGAAUAUUGCACAAUGGGCGGAAGCCUGAUGCAGAAACGCCGCGUGCGGGAUGACGGCCUUCGGGUUGUAAACCGCUUUCGCCUGUGACGAAGCGUGAGUGACGGUAAUGGGUAAAGAAGCACCGGCUAACUACGU
rnacentral:rRNA from 1 species